UAAUACGUAGGGAGCAAGCGUUGUUCGGAUUUACUGGGCGUAAAGGGCGCGUAGGCGGCGCGACAAGUCACUUGUGAAAUCUCCGGGCUUAACUCGGAACGGUCAAGUGAAACUGUCAUGCUAGAGUGCAGAAGGGGCAAUCGGAAUUCUUGGUGUAGCGGUGAAAUGCGUAGAUAUCAAGAGGAACACCUGAGGUGAAGACGGGUUGCUGGGCUGACACUGACGCUGAGGCGCGAAAGCCAGGGGAGCAAACGGGAUUAGAUACCCCGGUAGUCCUGGCCCUAAACGAUGAAUACUUGGUGUCUGGAGUUAUUAUCGCUCCGGGUGCCGUCGCUAACGUUUUAAGUAUUCCGCCUGGGGAGUACGCACGCAAGUGUG
rnacentral:rRNA from 1 species